AACAUGUAAGAUAGGGCCUUUAAUGAAGGUGGUUGGAUUUUGGUGAAAACUUCUCACAAAUCCGAUUCCACUUCUUUUAGGAACGUGACCCUUAUUUGUAAGGAUCAUGUUCAAAGACUUGCUACCAACCUCGAAUUUCUUCAAGGUGUCCUUAAGUAGCAUGUUCUCCUUUUGGAGAGUUUCUAGAUCAUGGCAUUUUAUACAUGGAGC
rnacentral:lncRNA from 1 species